GACGAACGCUGGCGGCGUGCUUAACACAUGCAAGUCGAACGGAAAGGCCCUGCUUUUGUGGGGUGCUCGAGUGGCGAACGGGUGAGUAACACGUGAGUAACCUGCCCUUGACUUUGGGAUAACUUCAGGAAACUGGGGCUAAUACCGGAUAGGAGCUCCUGCUGCAUGGUGGGGGUUGGAAAGUUUCGGCGGUUGGGGAUGGACUCGCGGCUUAUCAGCUUGUUGGUGGGGUAGUGGCUUACCAAGGCUUUGACGGGUAGCCGGCCUGAGAGGGUGACCGGCCAAAUGGGGACGGAGAAACGGCCCAGACUCCUACGGGGGGCAGCAGUGGGGAAUAUUGCACAAUGGGCGGAAGCCUGAUGCAGCAACGCCGCGUGCGGGAUGACGGCCUUCGGGUUGUAAACCGCUUUCGCCUGUGACGAAGCGUGAGUGACGGUAAUGGGUAAAGAAGCACCGGCUAACUACGUG
rnacentral:rRNA from 1 species